AAAGGUAGAAUCGACUCUCAAAACUCACCUUGAAUUCUACGAUCGAGAACAAAAUAAAUAUCCUACUAGAUUAAAAAUAACAUUCUUAGCUUAAUGGAAUCAUUCAAACAUUAAAAAAAGUUCAUCUGGAUCAAAUAUUAACCAAAGUAAAACCUUAACCUUAAACUUCCGACUUUCUAACCAACUAUUCAAAAUACAUUUGAAUGCCUCGACUGCUUUAAAUAUUCCAACUUUCCAUCCCUAGAUUGCCUUGAUUCCCUUUUUCCCUUCUUCUAUAGAAUUUGCAUGAACUUUUGGUUGAUAUGUUGAAAUGCGUUUGGCAUCUCCUAUCACACUAUCUUUAUUUUCCCGUCCCUAUAGGAUGUACCUUCUAAAUUAUUUUUGGAACCUCAUUCUUCUCUUCACUCUCUUAGUAUUUGGCUUUACUCCCCUUUUCGUAUUCUACUUCUCUUUUUAGGAGUUAUUGACAAUAUUAUCUUCACAAAUUACAUUUGUAUUGCUUUGUCUACUACUUCAAGCUCUACAAUUUUGUGUCUUUUGCUAUUAUCUAUGAUUUUAUGGUCUCCAGGAUUUUCUUUCUUCUCUUGUACUCCUUUCAGUGGCUUUCACAUAAUUGUUGAGAUAGCCUUAUAGUUUUUCUUCUAUUUUUGUUGGUGUACUUCUUCAUCCUUAGCCCUUGUUACAUCAAUUACCUCUGAAACUAUUAUCUUUCAUCUUUAAAUACUCUGUCUCAAGCUUGAAGAUGAAAUGGCCCAUGAAGAUGGAUGACUUGAGAAAAGAGACCUUGGAAACCCUCAAAAAGGAAUGAACCUUGAGUCGGCCAAUAAUCUAAAGGAGGCUCUACUCUCUCUGAAUUCUAUCUUAGUGUCUUGAAAGAAAUCUUAGAGGUCAUACUUGGAUAUGGAAUUCCCAUGGCUAAGUAAUCUAAUUCAACUCAAUCAGACUACCAUUGACUAUGAAUUUUCUUAAAAUCAACACAAGAUCUGGAUGUAAAAAGUGAGCUAAUCAAAUCCUCUCCCAUCUUAGUCUUGGCUAACCAAAUUCAUUCAAGCUCCCUAUGAGAAAAUAGGAAAAAAGAGUAAUAGGAUAUUUAUGUAUGACUUGCAACCAUUCAAAAAAUCUUUGAUGAGUUGAAUGAGCAUAACCCAUGGGACAAACCUCUCACACGAUCGGCAAGUACAAUGGAAAAGUCCAUGAAGCCCAUAGGUCUGAACAUAGAUCCUAGGACUAUUGAGGAGGAGGGUGGUUUAAUGAAACAUAUCUCACCACUCUAAGCCUUGACCUCACCCAUAGGAUUUACCUUACCAUCAUCAGGAACCUUAACAGCCAAGUCGCAGAUAUAGUGCCAGGAUCAAAGACAAGGAUAAGACAAAAUUUAUGGACGAAUUAAUGCACAAAAUUAAAUGACCUAAGAAGAUAAGGGAAUAAGUGACCCAUGUAGAAAACCUUUUUG
rnacentral:lncRNA from 1 species